GAACGCUGGCGGCGUGCCUAACACAUGCAAGUCGAACGAAGCUCUUGAGCGGAGUUCUUCGGAUAAAGCGAUGGAAGACUUAGUGGCGGACGGGUGAGUAACGCGUGAGCAACCUGCCUUUCAGAGGGGGAUAACAGUUGGAAACGACUGCUAAUACCGCAUAACAUAUCGGAGUCGCAUGGCUCUGGUAUCAAAGCUGUGGCGCUGAGAGAUGGGCUCGCGUCCGAUUAGAUAGUUGGUGGGGUAACGGCCUACCAAGUCGACGAUCGGUAGCCGGACUGAGAGGUUGAACGGCCACAUUGGGACUGAGACACGGCCCAGACUCCUACGGGAGGCAGCAGUGGGGGAUAUUGCACAAUGGGCGAAAGCCUGAUGCAGCAACGCCGCGUGAGGGAAGACGGUUUUCGGAUUGUAAACCUCUGUCUUCGGUGAAGAAGGAAGUGACGGUAACCAAGGAGGAAGCCACGGCUAACUACGUGCCAGCAGCGGC
rnacentral:rRNA from 1 species